GUAAGGAAUAUUGGUCAAUGGGGGCAACCCUGAACCAGCCAUGCCGCGUGAAGGAUGAAGGCGUUAUGCGUUGUAAACUUCUUUUGUAUGGGAAGAAUGACAGGGAUUUAUCCUUGGAGAGACGGUACCAUACGAAUAAGCACCGGCUAACUCCGUGCCAGCAGCCGCGGUAAUACGGAGGGUGCAAGCGUUAUCCGGAAUCACUGGGUUUAAAGGGUACGUAGGCGGUUAAUUAAGUCAGUAGUGAAAGACUGUCGCUCAACGACGGAUGUGCUAUUGAUACUGGUUAAUUUGAAUCAGGUUAGAGUUGGCGGAAUGGGUCAUGUAGCGGUGAAAUGCUUAGAUAUGACUUGGAACACCGAUAGCGAAGGCAGCUGACUGAGCCUUGAUUGACGCUGAGGUACGAAAGCGUGGGGAUCGAACAGGAUUAGAUACCCGAGUAGUCC
rnacentral:rRNA from 1 species